UCUUUCUGAAAUUUUAUCCACCAGAACUUACAGUGAUAUCUAUUGCUGGGAGCACUGAUCGGAAUGGAUUACCUCUACAUUCUUCAUAUUUGCAGACUGCUUUUAGUUUUAGUUCCCAGACUUUUGGUCUUAAAGACGCCUUUACACUAAAAAAUUACGGGGGACCUCAAAGAGCGUGUACGUGAGUUAUAAUUAUCAACAUUUACUCAAUUAGAAAUUAAAAUUGGUAUUUCUAAGCGCAAGAAAACACAUGCGCACAUUCCAUUAACCGCCACUGCAAUGGCGUCAUCACAUGUUUUGUGAUCACUGGAAAUUACUACACGAACGUUAGAGAGAGAAUGAGAAUGAAAAGGAAAAUAGUUUUGACAUGAACUGACCCCGCUUCCUGGGUCUCCAAUCCACCCCACCACUACCCCCAUUCCAGGAGUCCCAGGAUCAAGCUUUGGGAAGCGCCAUCCGUCACAGGUCUUGGUCUCCCCUUCCAAAAGUCAGUGCCUCUCCAGGCUGCCCAUCCCCAGCAAAGAUCCGGAAGCCGGAAGUCCGCUGCCCCUGGCAACAGCACCCAGCACCUAGCCCUCUGCUUCGCCGUACCGCACCCGGAAGUCGGAGCUGCGCACGCACCGCGGGACUCUGAAUUCCCGGCAUGCCCCAGGAGAGCGGCGUGGACGCGUGCGGGCCUAGAGGCCCACGUGAUCCGCAGGGCGGCCGAGGCAGGAAGCUGUGAGUGCGCGGUUGCGGGGUCGCAUUGUGGCUACGGCUUUGCGUCCCCGGCGGGCAGCCCCAGGCUGGUCCCCGCCUCCGCUCUCCCCACCGGCGGGGAAAGCAGCUGGUGUGGGAGGAAAGGCUCCAUCCCCCGCCCCCUCUCUCCCGCUGUUGGCUGGCAGGAUCUUUUGGCAGUCCUGUGGCCUCGCUCCCCGCCCGGAUCCUCCUGACCCUGAGAUUCGCGGGUCUCACGUCCCGUGCACGCCUUGCUUCGGCCUCAGUUAAGCCUUUGUGGGCUCCAGGUCCCUGGUGAGAUUAGAAACGUUUGCAAACAUGUCCCGGAUCGAAAAGAUGAGCAUUCUGGGCGUGCGGAGUUUUGGAAUAGAGGACAAAGAUAAGCAAAUUAUCACUUUCUUCAGCCCCCUUACAAUUUUGGUUGGACCCAAUGGGGCGGGAAAGACGACCAUCAUUGAAUGUUUAAAAUAUAUUUGUACUGGAGAUUUCCCUCCUGGAACCAAAGGAAAUACAUUUGUACACGAUCCCAAGGUUGCUCAAGAAACAGAUGUGAGAGCCCAGAUCCGUCUGCAAUUUCGUGAUGUCAAUGGAGAACUUAUAGCUGUACAAAGAUCUAUGGUGUGUACUCAGAAAAGCAAAAAGACAGAAUUUAAAACUCUGGAAGGAGUCAUUACUAGAACAAAGCAUGGUGAAAAGGUCAGUCUGAGCUCUAAGUGUGCAGAAAUUGACCGAGAAAUGAUCAGUUCUCUUGGGGUUUCCAAGGCUGUGCUAAAUAAUGUCAUUUUCUGUCAUCAAGAAGAUUCUAAUUGGCCUUUAAGUGAAGGAAAGGCUUUGAAGCAAAAGUUUGAUGAGAUUUUUUCAGCAACAAGAUACAUUAAAGCCUUGGAAACACUUCGGCAGGUACGUCAGACACAAGGUCAGAAAGUAAAAGAAUAUCAAAUGGAACUAAAAUAUCUGAAGCAAUAUAAGGAAAAAGCUUGUGAGAUUCGUGAUCAGAUUACAAGUAAGGAAGCCCAGUUAACAUCUUCAAAGGAAAUUGUCAAAUCCUAUGAGAAUGAACUUGAUCCAUUGAAGAAUCGUCUAAAAGAAAUUGAACAUAAUCUCUCUAAAAUAAUGAAACUUGACAAUGAAAUUAAAGCCUUGGAUAGCCGAAAGAAGCAAAUGGAGAAAGAUAAUAGUGAACUGGAAGAGAAAAUGGAAAAGGUUUUUCAAGGGACUGAUGAGCAACUAAAUGACUUAUAUCACAAUCACCAGAGAACAGUAAGGGAGAAAGAAAGGAAAUUGGUAGAUUGUCAUCGUGAACUGGAAAAACUAAACAAAGAAUCUAGGCUUCUCAAUCAGGAAAAAUCAGAACUGCUUGUUGAACAGGGUCGUCUACAGCUGCAAGCAGAUCGCCAUCAAGAACAUAUCCGAGCUAGAGAUUCAUUAAUUCAGUCUUUGGCAACACAGCUAGAAUUGGAUGGCUUUGAGCGUGGACCAUUCAGUGAAAGACAGAUUAAAAAUUUUCACAAACUUGUGAGAGAGAGACAAGAAGGGGAAGCAAAAACUGCCAACCAACUGAUGAAUGACUUUGCAGAAAAAGAGACUCUGAAACAAAAACAGAUAGAUGAGAUAAGAGAUAAGAAAACUGGAUUGGGAAGAAUAAUUGAGUUAAAAUCAGAAAUCCUAAGUAAGAAGCAGAAUGAGCUGAAAAAUGUGAAGUAUGAAUUACAGCAGUUGGAAGGAUCUUCAGACAGGAUUCUUGAACUGGACCAGGAGCUCAUAAAAGCUGAACGUGAGUUAAGCAAGGCUGAGAAAAACAGCAAUGUAGAAACCUUAAAAAUGGAAGUAAUAAGUCUCCAAAAUGAAAAAGCAGACUUAGACAGGACCCUGCGUAAACUUGACCAGGAGAUGGAGCAGUUAAACCAUCAUACAACAACACGUACCCAAAUGGAGAUGCUGACCAAAGACAAAGCUGACAAAGAUGAACAAAUCAGAAAAAUAAAAUCUAGGCACAGUGAUGAAUUAACCUCACUGUUGGGAUAUUUUCCCAACAAAAAACAGCUUGAAGACUGGCUACAUAGUAAAUCAAAAGAAAUUAAUCAGACCAGGGACAGACUUGCCAAAUUGAACAAGGAACUAGCUUCAUCUGAGCAGAAUAAAAAUCAUAUAAAUAAUGAACUAAAAAGAAAGGAAGAGCAGUUAUCCAGUUACGAAGACAAGCUGUUUGAUGUUUGUGGUAGCCAGGAUUUUGAAAGUGAUUUAGACAGGCUUAAAGAGGAAAUUGAAAAAUCAUCAAAACAGCGAGCCAUGCUGGCUGGAGCCACAGCAGUUUACUCCCAGUUCAUUACUCAGCUAACAGACGAAAACCAGUCAUGUUGCCCCGUUUGUCAGAGAGUUUUUCAGACAGAGGCUGAGUUACAAGAAGUCAUCAGUGAUUUGCAGUCUAAACUGCGACUUGCUCCAGAUAAACUCAAGUCAACAGAAUCAGAGCUAAAAAAAAAGGAAAAGCGGCGUGAUGAAAUGCUGGGACUUGUGCCCAUGAGGCAAAGCAUAAUUGAUUUGAAGGAGAAGGAAAUACCAGAAUUAAGAAACAAACUGCAGAAUGUCAAUAGAGACAUACAGCGCCUAAAGAACGACAUAGAAGAACAAGAAACACUCUUGGGUACAAUAAUGCCUGAAGAAGAAAGUGCUAAAGUAUGCCUGACAGAUGUUACAAUUAUGGAGAGGUUCCAGAUGGAACUUAAAGAUGUUGAAAGAAAAAUUGCACAACAAGCAGCUAAGCUACAAGGAAUAGACUUAGAUCGAACUGUCCAACAAGUCAACCAGGAGAAACAAGAGAAACAGCACAAGUUAGACACAGUUUCUAGUAAGAUUGAAUUGAAUCGUAAGCUUAUACAGGACCAGCAGGAACAGAUUCAACAUCUAAAAAGUACAACAAAUGAGCUAAAAUCUGAGAAACUUCAGAUAUCCACUAAUUUGCAACGUCGUCAGCAACUGGAGGAGCAGACUGUGGAAUUAUCCACUGAAGUUCAGUCUUUGUACAGAGAGAUAAAGGAUGCUAAAGAGCAGGUAAGCCCUUUGGAAACAACAUUGGAAAAGUUCCAGCAAGAAAAAGAAGAAUUAAUCAACAAAAAAAAUACAAGCAACAAAAUAGCACAGGAUAAACUGAAUGAUAUUAAAGAGAAGGUUAAAAAUAUUCAUGGCUAUAUGAAAGACAUUGAGAAUUAUAUUCAAGAUGGGAAAGACGACUAUAAGAAGCAAAAAGAAACUGAACUUAAUAAAGUAAUAGCUCAACUAAGUGAAUGCGAGAAACACAAAGAAAAGAUAAAUGAAGAUAUGAGAAUCAUGAGACAAGAUAUUGAUACACAGAAGAUACAAGAAAGGUGGCUACAAGAUAACCUUACUUUAAGAAAAAGAAAUGAGGAACUAAAAGAAGUUGAAGAAGAAAGAAAACAACAUUUGAAGGAAAUGGGUCAAAUGCAGGUUUUGCAAAUGAAAAGUGAACAUCAGAAGUUGGAAGAGAACAUAGACAAUAUAAAAAGAAAUCAUAAUUUGGCAUUAGGGCGACAGAAAGGUUAUGAAGAAGAAAUUAUUCAUUUUAAGAAAGAACUUCGAGAACCACAAUUUCGGGAUGCUGAGGAAAAGUAUAGAGAAAUGAUGAUUGUUAUGAGGACAACAGAACUUGUGAACAAGGAUCUGGAUAUUUAUUAUAAGACUCUUGACCAAGCAAUAAUGAAAUUUCACAGUAUGAAAAUGGAAGAAAUCAAUAAAAUUAUACGUGACCUGUGGCGAAGUACCUAUCGUGGACAAGACAUUGAAUACAUAGAAAUACGGUCUGAUGCCGAUGAAAAUGUAUCAGCUUCUGAUAAAAGGCGGAGUUAUAACUACCGAGUGGUGAUGCUGAAGGGAGACACAGCCUUGGAUAUGCGAGGACGAUGCAGUGCUGGACAAAAGGCAGGUAUUAGCCUCACUCAUCAUUCGCCUGGCCCUGGCUGAAACGUUCUGCCUCAACUGUGGCAUCAUUGCCUUAGAUGAGCCAACAACAAACCUUGACCGAGAAAACAUUGAAUCUCUUGCACAUGCUCUGGUUGAGAUAAUAAAAAGUCGCUCACAGCAGCGUAACUUCCAGCUUCUGGUAAUCACUCAUGAUGAAGAUUUUGUGGAGCUUUUAGGACGUUCUGAAUAUGUGGAGAAAUUCUACAGGAUUAAAAAGAACAUCGAUCAGUGCUCAGAGAUUGUGAAAUGCAGUGUUAGCUCCCUGGGAUUCAAUGUUCAUUAAAAAUAUCCAAGAUUUAAGUGCCCUAGAAAUGUAGGUCCUCAGAAAGUGUAUAAUAAGAAACUUAUUUCUGAUAUCAACUUAGUCAAUAAGAAAAUAUAUUCUUUCAAAAGAACAUUGUGUCUAGGAUUUUGGAUGUUGAGCGGUUCUAAAAUCAUUAAACUUGUUUGUUUCACUGAAAA